AGGACGAACGCUGGCGGCGCGCUUAACACAUGCAAGUCGAGCGGAAAGGCCCUUCGGGGUACUCGAGCGGCGAACGGGUGAGUAACACGUGAGUAAUCUGCCCCUAGCUCUGGGAUAGCUCCGGGAAACCGGGAUUAAUACCAGAUACGACCACUUUAGACAUCUGCUGUGGUGGAAAGAAUUUCGGCUAGGGAUGAGCUCGCGGCCUAUCAGCUUGUUGGUGAGGUAACGGCUCACCAAGGCGACGACGGGUA
rnacentral:rRNA from 1 species